UUUAAUAAUGACGUAAGGAGUGACAGGAGGGGUUUUAUAAUCGCAGUGAAUUCGGUAAAGAAAAAGUUAAAUAAAGUUUCUAUAUUAGGAGAUAAGUGGGAGCGUUUAUAAUUGGCGGAAGUAGCUUCGGCAUAUAAUAGUUUAUCAGUAUUGGAAUUUAAGGUGGAUUUAGGAGAGUUAAUAUGAGAAUUGGGAGUAGAAAUUAAGUGUUCACGAUGAGGUGGUCUAUUUUUUAGUUUUUUAUAAACAGUACAGCCUUUGUUAUUUGCUGGGUGACUACCUUGGUAUAAAGCACAUCUGGCCGGAGAUUCUAGUGACGUAGUGCAUACGUCAGAUCUAUGUUCUUCGCCACAUCUGAUGCAUCGUGGAACGUGGUUGCAGUAACGCUGAGUGUGCCCGUAAGCUAGACAGCGGUGGCAUUGAGUUUCAGAUCCAAAUCAAUCGUUUACGAAGGGAUCUCGUUUUAAAUAUAGACAAAAACACUUACCAUUCAACUAAUGACUGAAUUCAUUCAAAGAUAUUAUUCAACAGUUAUCCCAUCCCCUAUAUCUAUUGAAAAACGAUCAAACUAAUUUUGUUUUAUCGAUAAUUCGUGCAGCAUUGUUCAAAAACAUUCAAAUCAGAUCAAAAGCUUCUUUUGAAAGCAAACUACUUUUCAAAAAUAAUAGUUUUUUUAUGAUUCGAUAAAAUACAUCAUGAUGAUGAACGUCAGCUCGCCGAACAUGAAAUACAUAAUCAACGACAUUGAAGAUGAC